UACGUAGGGGGCUAGCGUUGUCCGGAAUCAUUGGGCGUAAAGCGCGCGUAGGUGGCCAUGUAAGUCCGCUGUGAAAGUCAAAGGCUCAACCUUUGAAAGCCGGUGGAUACUGCAUGGCUAGAGUACGGAAGAGGCGAGUGGAAUUCCUGGUGUAGCGGUGGAAUGCGCAGAUAUCAGGAGGAACACCAAUUGCGAAGGCAGCUCGCUGGGACGUUACUGACGCUGAGACGCGAAAGCGUGGGGAGCAAACAGG
rnacentral:rRNA from 1 species